AAAUCUUUCUCAGCUCUGUCUAUAGGCAUGUUAGUCAUUCAGAGAAUGUCUGUCUAAAAGUUGGCAAAGCAAAGUUUAUUAGCUCUAAAAUUAACCUGUCUCAUUACCAUUCAAGGCAGAGGACACCAGGAUAAGGGUUCCUCCCCUAGGAACCGAAUUGCUCACAAGUUAGAAGGAUUCAACCUGAACUACAAAAGAAGCCAAGGAUGUUUGAGGAGCCACAGAACCUUCCCUGUCCGGUGUGGAGAGAGAGCUGAGAGUGAGAAGAGGAUCAGCAGGGUCUUGCUAUGUGGUUCAGGCUGGCCUUCAACUCACUAUGUAGCACAGGCUGG
ensembl:lncRNA